rnacentral:lncRNA from 1 species
AAAUCUUGAAUGUUUUGGAGUUCUUUAUCUGCAAGUCUCUCAUCAUGCAUGUAGAGAUAAUGGGCAGCAAAGAGUAUCACAGAUAAUGUGCAACCACAUAAAAAGACAUGCUAGCUACUACCAAAAUUGGCAAAAGGUGCACCAAAAGGUUGUCAUGAUCCAUUUAUCAAAAUUACAAUAUUUCAAAUCCAAAGCAUAAUUUAACUAGUAGAUAACUCAUCUAGGCCUACUCAUGUGUCCAGACACUUUGUCCAAUCCAAUGUUUCUUGAUCAUUGCCUCCUCCCUCAAAAUAACAGCAAGCAUUCUUUUACAAAUUAUUGAAUAAUUGAACAAAACUGACUCACGUUGUAAUCAACCAAAGCAUAAUGGUUUUUCUCCCUUAGUUACACUAUUACUCAUAAGAAUUAGGAACGCGAGGGAUAUGCCAACAACUUUUGGAUAGCAUAUAUGAAGUAACUUUAAUACUGUAGUCACUACUACUUAUCACUAACUUGCUUCCAUAACAACAAUGUUACCGGUUUGUUAGUAACCAAAUAACAAAUCGUGCUCGAAUUAGUCACUAAUUGAAGUCAGUAACAAAUUAACCGAUGAAGCCACACACACUCCCCAAAAAUUGUUGUCCACACACACUCCCCAAAAUUGAAGUCAGUAAGAAUUAGACCACACACACUCCCCAAAAUUGAACUGAAGCCACACACUACCCAAUCGCACCCAAAUUCGCCCACAAAUCACAUCAUCCAAUUUCUCCUCCAUAGUGAUCCUAGUAUCAACAAAGAAGGAAAACAUCAAGUUUUUAGCAAUUAAGUAGACUGACUUGUCAGACUAUCGCACUUCUAAGCCAAACCAAAGUUGCUUCUUGAUCUAGUUCACACCCACUUAGGAAGGCCUCUCUAUUAUCUUUGCUUUUGAUGAAAACAGCAAAUACCUUUGCUUUUUCUUACUUUAUCACUUCCAUCAUGCUUAGAACAGAUAUACACCUUUUGGUAGAGAAGUCAUUACCUUGAGCAAAUUCAUUUUCUUUGGCUAGAUCCUCCUUUUCUUUGGCUAGCUCUGCAGACUCAUUUUGUACUUGCUUAGUCCUCAUGUCUAGGUAUCUCCCAAUCAUUUCUUCAAUCCUUUCACCCUUGUUCUUAGGCCUCUUUAUUUGCUUCUCAUGUUUUUUGCUUG